AUUUUUCUCUAUCACUUAAUCGUUUUUAUCAUCGUUCAUUUUACCAAUUUUCCAAAAGGAUAAAAGAUUAAUUUUUUAAUCAAUAUUUCUUAAUUUUCCAUGUGUCCUACGAUAUGUAUAAAUUGAAUGUCGAGCGAACAAAUAAGACAAAUCUUCCUAUUAAGCGAGAGAAAAAAAUCGAGGGUCAAGAAGAACGCACGUGAGUCCGCUUUUCUUUAUCGUUAACGAGUCGUCCUUCGGCAUCCCAACACUUAGCCGUCCUUGUCUAUCCCGAAAUAACAUUUCGUUACGAAGCAUACAUGGGCGUUUCUUCGUGCGACUGCCAGAUGCGUGGGUGGUGGUAGUAGAGAAGAGAAGGAGAGCAUAGAAACGAUCAUAUGGUAGCGCCGCCGAUGAGGCUCCCUCCAGGUCUGGCUUGUCAGUGCUUCAUGAAGUGUUGCGUCGUACCCGUGCAUAAUCCCUGACCGAGCAUGACCCUGACGAAGUUCGCGAAAUCUAACAUUAAACGUUGACUGGGAAGCUACGAGAAAGACUACGCGAUUUCGUUCCUUAGUGAGCUUUCCUUUGCGAAAUGGGUACAACAGAGAUAACUAUAGAGUGUAUGAAACGUGAAGAAGAAGAAAAAGCUGCAAUCUUAACGUUUACUUCCUGAUCAAGUGUGACGGCAUUGAGAUCGGAAUGAUCGAUGUGAUUGAUUGCCAUCGCUGGUUUCGUGGAACGCAAUUGAUUAUAAUUAAAUGUCAAGCAAAUGUGAAUAUAUCUAAUGAUAUGAUUAAAAUAAAUGGAAAAUUAUCUAAGUUAUUUUCUUAUACCAAUCGUACGUUAUUAGGCAGAAAAAGCAUUUAAUGAAAUUUUGAAGCAAUCAUCGAUUAUCUCGAUUACUGAAUCACAUUCUUGAAUUCGAAUAUUGCUCAUCAUAAUCAACGAAUGAGACUGGCAAUGAGUCAAACCUGUAAUUCGUUCACACUGAAACAUUUGAUAUAAAUAAAUAAUUAUUGGAAAUCUUGAAUAUUUAGAUAUGAAAAUGCUUAAAGUGAUUAAAGAUUAUAAAAAAAAGAUGAGCUGUGCAAAUAUUAAUAUUAUAUUUCACGUAUAAUUCAGAAGAAGAAAGAAAAGAAGAAGUAAAAAUAAGAAUUGGCGAUUUUUCACAAGUAAUAGAAAAGUACUCGUCAUUUAUUUCAUAAUGUUGAAAUGAUGUGGCUUGUUGUUACAAACCUCUUCUCUUUCGAGAUCUUAAUUUAGAAGAUUUCAAGCAUAAAAAAGAACAAAAAUCAUCUAAUGCAAGCAAUAUUAACAACAAAGUACUGAAGGUAUUCGCGGCAUCCAACCGAACGUUUCUACGUAGAAGAUCGUCAUGGCAGUCGAUAAUCCGUCAUAUUUCUCGCUGUCCGGCGGGACAUCGUCGUCGCCGAAGACGACGACGACGUUGACAUCCCCGACGUCGCCCAGAAAUCACAGUAGCGGCUUGUCCGCUUUAUUUCGACGGAGAGCCUGCAGUAAGAUGGGCGCGGCUUCCUCUCAAGGUGGCAUCGUCAUCUCGGAAUCCACGUCCAGCAUGCAUCACGAAAAUCGCGGCAAUGUGUCGGGUACGUCGACAUCGACGGAGGAGCGCGUCCCGAUGCUGUCGCGGAAUGGCGCGGUCCAAUCU